GUCUAGGGCCAUACCACCCUGAACACACCUGAUAGUGUCUGAUCUCGGAAGCUCAGCAGGGCCAGGCCCAGUUAGUACCUGGAUGGGAGAGCUUACUUGAGCAGACACUCCGGGUGAUUCUGACG
ensembl:rRNA 5S_rRNA 5S ribosomal RNA